CCGAGUUAUCCUUCGGAAUUGUGCAAUCACGAAUGUGCACGAAGAAAUUUCGGGAAAUGGCGAAUCUCAGGAUUGUCCGGGAUUCACUUUCCUUAAUCUGAGGGAACAUAGAUUCUGCCAUUUCGUCUGUGAACAGCCAGUGUAUAGGAAGUGUGCGCGUUUGUUAGUUUAUUCGUUUUGUCUAAUAAAUUAGUAGUAAAGUGUGCGUAGUCAGGAUUUGUGUGCGAUAGUUAAGAUAAAGCCAACGAUAUAAGCCGUUUGGCUAUCUAAUUCGCAGCAACCUCACUCGCACCCAAGCGUGCGAAUUCCUUUCCCUCCACGGACGAAAGCCUUCCCAGCAACCGUCAACCCGCUGGAAGCCGGACGAUCCGUCAACAAAUCGUCCGGGCGAGGCCUGGGGGACCUCAUCGUGGACAGGGUCCAGAAAUCGGUCCGUUUCAUCGUACCGCCAACCGCCAUCACAAGCUGCCACCGCGUGUCGCCAUCGCUGCAUCGUCGCUGUUAGAGCGAGCAAGCCAACCGCCAUCGACCAAGCAGGCGCUUGGCGUCAUCGUCGCCGCUCGAGACGGGCACAUUGACCUGCCCGUAGGUCAACGACUGGGUCGGUAAGCCAUCCA